rnacentral:sRNA from 1 species
GAUCGACGGCGUGCACGCAAGGCCCCCUUGCCCCCGUACCACGCUGUUCCCCGCGAGGCCGUGUGUGUAUUGUACACGCAUCGCUGGCUGCCGAUGGCAUGGCACACGCGCACCGCAGCAACCGAUCGCUGGCGAUCCACACAGCGAGCAGAGUAGCAGCAGCGGCCACAGCUCGCAGGCUCACAUGCCGCCCGUGCCCGCGCGCGCGCGAUGCACCAACCACCUAGCCUGCUAGCCGAGGCGGCGUUAACCAUGUCACGCGUCUUGCUGCCCCGGUCGGUUGCUCCCCCGCGCCGAAGCUGCUCGGCUCGGCUCCGCUAGCUCGCUCGGGCGUCGCCAUCACGCGCCACCCACCGGACGAGGGUGGCAUCGGGCAUGGCGGACGCUGCUCGCGGCGAUGACGCGAUCUAAGCCGUGGGCAAUGUCACGGAAGAAUUCUGAGAGGAAUUGAAUCGACGAACGGUGUACAUGCAUGUACAGGUCAGAUGUGUGCUGCUUGCCGGUGUGACGGGGUAGUUUUACAGGAGCAGCAGCGAAGCGGGGAACACCAGGAGCAGCAGAAGAAGAAUCAGGUGGCGUCUUGUGGGUCGGUGCGUCGCCGGACCGCCGCCGCCGCUGCUGCCGGUGGCCGCCGUUGACGGUGCGUUGGCCGGCAUGCCGCCGGACAACCCUGCCGGAUGUUUGAGACAUUGUCAGUACAGUCAAAUCUCGCCGUGUGAAACAAGUAUACAUGAGAAAUUUGAUCAGACAUUUUCUUGC